GGAAGUUGAACGAAAAGGCUAUUUCCCUUGAAACAACACAACUCCGAUAACUCAAGAGGGAUUCAAAUCUGAAAUAAUUUGUAAUUUAAAUUGAAAAUAGGUAACUAACUUGUAAUUUUAUCAAAGUUAUAAUUUACCCUUUAAAUAAUCAAUUUUUAUUUUUUUUGUAAUAAACAAAAUAGAAAGAGAAGAGUUAAAAUUUCUAACUGGCAAGCAUAACAGAAUGGAGAUAUUCCUAGAAGAGUCUCUCUUCCUUUUUUUUCUCUGUCGUUCCCCUACUUUGCUUUAGGGUUUAGUCCCUCUCUUAUUGCUGGUGUGCGGCCUCCUCAAGGUGGGUUUCGUCCCUCCCAUUUUGGGAUGUUCUGUGUAUAUGUUUUGUUUUUCUUUUGUAGGUCCAGUGAUGUCAAUGAAAGGGAUUUUGGUUUUGACCCGAGUAGUCUUGCGUUUUCCGAUUGCAUAUGUGUUAUGGGUGCUCACAGUGCAUCGAUGAUGGUUAUUUGAGCUACAUGCAAAAUUAAUGGUGGUUGCUCUCUAUUGCAAAGGGAAUGGAGGAAUUUUCUCGAUGGUUGAAAGAGCCGAUUGAUGGGUGCUAUCACCCUUUAGCUACAGAGCUCCUCUUCUGCUUCGUCUCCUCUGUAGGCUACUAAUCUAAGUUUGAACGUUUCUUGGGGAAAAAAUUAAAAGAGUUGGGGACCGAGGCACCCCACCCCCUCCGCCCCUGUCUUGGGGUCCUUAAACUUCGCGUGCUGUUAUAAUCUUAAAGGGGCUUUCCUACCUAUGGUUUUCUACUUGCUCAUGGCUGUUGAUUUUGGAUACUGUAGGAGGGAAUAGCUCCAUGGGCGGACGUUCCUAAGGUGAAUGGCAUUAAGGGUGUUUGGCUCCGGUUCGAUUUGGAGUUUGUCUAAGAACUGGAAUUAAAUCGAAAUUUCAGUAUAGUUCUACUUCGGUUCUUCAUUGUUUCGGUUUCAAUUCAAUACAGUUCUUUGUUCUUCGGUUUAGUAUAGUUUCGAUUUGUUUUCGGUUCUUAAAAUAAUUUUAUAUAAUUAUUUUCUUAAAAAGUCAUACUUGAAUUAACAUUUAAGUUUGAAUUGAGUUAUUAAUGCAUAAUAUAUCAUAUAAUAUAUCU
rnacentral:misc_RNA from 1 species